rnacentral:rRNA from 1 species
UAGGGAAUCUUCGGCAAUGGGGGGAACCCUGACCGAGCAACGCCGCGUGAGUGAAGAAGGUUUUCGGAUCGUAAAGCUCUGUUGUUAAGGAAGAACGAGUGUGAGAAUGGAAAGUUCAUACUGUGACGGUACUUAACCAGAAAGGGACGGCUAACUACGUGCCAGCAGCCGCGGUAAUACGUAGGUCCCGAGCGUUGUCCGGAGUUAUUGGGCGUAAAGCGAGCGCAGGCGGUUAGAUAAGUCUGAAGUUAAAGGCAGUGGCUCAACCAUUGUAAGCUUUGGAAACUGUUUAUCUUGAGUGCAGAAGGGGAGAGUGGAAUUCCAUGUGUAGCGGUGAAAUGCGUAGUUAUAUGGAGGAACACCGGUGGCGAAAGCGGCUCUCUGGUCUGUAACUGACGCUGAGGCUCGAAAGCGUGGGGAGCGAACAGG